rnacentral:rRNA from 1 species
AUUGAACGCUGGCGGCAUGCUUUACACAUGCAAGUCGAACGGUAACAGGGUGCUUGCACCGCUGACGAGUGGCGAACGGGUGAGUAAUACAUCGGAAUGUACCCAGUAAUGGGGGAUAACGCUUCGAAAGGAGUGCUAAUACCGCAUACGCCCUGAGGGGGAAAGUGGGGGACCGCAAGGCCUCACGUUAUUGGAGCAGCCGAUGGCUGAUUAGCUAGUUGGUGAGGUAAAGGCUCACCAAGGCGACGAUCAGUAGCGGGUCUUAGAGGACGAUCCGCCACACUGGAACGGAGACACGGUCCAGACUCCUACGGGAGGCAGCAGUGGGGAAUAUUGGACAAUGGGCGCAAGCCUGAUCCAGCCAUGCCGCGUGUGUGAAGAAGGCCUUCGGGUUGUAAAGCACUUUUGUCCGGAAAGAUAUCCUGAAGAUUAAUACUCUUUGGGGAUGACGGUACCGGAAGAAUAAGCACCGGCUAACUUCGUGCCAGCCGCCGCUGUAACAC